UACGGAGGGUGCAAGCGUUAUCCGGAUUCACUGGGUUUAAAGGGUGCGUAGGUGGGCUUGUAAGUCAGUGGUGAAAUCUCCGUGCUUAACAUGGAAACUGCCAUUGAUACUAUAGGUCUUGAAUUAUCUGGAGGUCAGCGGAAUAUGUCAUGUAGCGGUGAAAUGCUUAGAUAUGACAUAGAACACCGAUUGCGAAGGCAGCUGGCUACAGGUUGAUUGACACUGAGGCACGAAAGCGUGGGGAUCAAACAGG
rnacentral:rRNA from 1 species